GAUGAACGCUGGCGGCGUGCCUAAUACAUGCAAGUCGAGCGAACGGACGAGAAGCUUGCUUCUCUGAUGUUAGCGGCGGACGGGUGAGUAACACGUGGAUAACCUACCUAUAAGACUGGGAUAACUUCGGGAAACCGGAGCUAAUACCGGAUAAUAUUUUGAACCGCAUGGUUCAAAAGUGAAAGACGGUCUUGCUGUCACUUAUAGAUGGAUCCGCGCUGCUUUAGCUAGUUGGUAAGGUAACGGCUUACCAAGGCAACGAUGCAUAGCGGACCUGAGAGGGUGAUCGGCCACACUGGAACUGAGACACGGUCCAGACUCCUACGGGAGGCAGCAGUAGGGAAUCUUCCGCAAUGGGCGAAAGCCUGACGGAGCAACGCCGCGUGAGUGAUGAAGGUCUUCGGAUCGUAAAACUCUGUUAUUAGGGAAGAACAUAUGUGUAAGUAACUGUGCACAUCUUGACGGUACCUAAUCAGAAAGCCACGGCUAACUACGUG
rnacentral:rRNA from 1 species